rnacentral:rRNA from 1 species
UCUCCUUCGGGAGAGAGGCUAGCGGCGGACGGGUGAGUAACACGUGGGCAACCUGCCUCAUAGAGGGGAAUAGCCUCCCGAAAGGGAGAUUAAUACCGCAUAAGAUUGUAGCUUCGCAUGAAGCAGCAAUUAAAGGAGCAAUCCGCUAUGAGAUGGGCCCGCGGCGCAUUAGCUAGUUGGUGAGGUAACGGCUCACCAAGGCGACGAUGCGUAGCCGACCUGAGAGGGUGAUCGGCCACAUUGGGACUGAGACACGGCCCAGACUCCUACGGGAGGCAGCAGUGGGGAAUAUUGCACAAUGGGGGAAACCCUGAUGCAGCAACGCCGCGUGAGUGAUGACGGCCUUCGGGUUGUAAAGCUCUGUCUUCAGGGACGAUAAUGACGGUACCUGAGGAGGAAGCCACGGCUAACUACGUGCCAGCAGCCGCGGUAAUACGUAGGUGGCGAGCGUUGUCCGGAUUUACUGGGCGUAAAGGGAGCGUAGGCGGACUUUUAAGUGAGAUGUGAAAUACCCAGGCUCAACUUGGGUGCUGCAUUUCAAACUGGAAGUCUAGAGUGCAGGAGAGGAGAAUGGAAUUCCUAGUGUAGCGGUGAAAUGCGUAGAGAUUAGGAAGAACACCAGUGGCGAAGGCGAUUCUCUGGACUGUAACUGACGCUGAGGCUCGAAAGCGUGGGGACAAACAGGAUUAGAUACCCUGGUAGUCC